CAGCCAUGGGAGCCACACGGCUUCACUGCCAGCACACGUGCCCGCCUUCCCACUGCUCCAGCUGGGGAUGCGGUCAGGCUGCCGGCGCAUGAGAUCACAUCCAGCACGGCUACUCCCUGGAAGCCAAAGUGUUGCUUAGUAACCCACUCAUGGAAGUACCAGAAGCAUUUUUCAAUCUGUCACGUCGGUGAAAAACACUGGCUUCUUGAUUUAGAGGCAUUCUGCUGUGUGUAGCAGGGCUGUGCUCCAUUACCUUGCAUCCAGUGCUAUCUGCAAAGAGGGAACGAAUCUCCCUGUCUUGGAGGGGCUGGGAGGAAAAAGUCACAGAAGGGAUUUGCCCAGCAUUGCGUGUGAAGCCUUUAGUCAGUUCUCCUGACAUCCAGACCUCGUCUUAACUCCCUUCCUGUGGGAGAUAUUCCCUCCUUAUGGAAGUGCACUCCAGGGUCCUAUAGCAAUUGGCCAAACAGGACCCUGCAGCACCUUCAUCUAUUAUGAGACAUUACUGCAAUAAAACAUGGUGUGUCAUACAGAAACUGGAUGAGGUAUUGCAAUAUUUAUGUUGUAAGCCUCAGUGUCACGGACAAUUGCUACAGAAUAAUGUAUGUCUUUUUUUAAUGCGGUGGAGUCAUAGCAGCUUCACAACAGCACACAGAGCACAGACCAUCUGGGAUUACAUGGUUUCCUCAGUUAUUUUCAAAUUAUUGUGUUAUCGAGAAUUAAAUGAAAAACAUCCUCUCAUUUAAAAAUAGACUGUUAAGGGCUUUUAGGUUACUUCCCUUCUUUUAAGAUUAAUUCAAUUUGGGGGCAAAACAUCCCAGAACUACGUUCUGACAUGAAAGACUUGCUCCUUUAUCUGGUUCUGGCUUAUCCUUAAGAAUGGCUUCAAGAAAGAACUGGAGGGCUUUUUUUUUUUGUGAUACCUUAUUGAUUUUUGCUAUCAAAUCUCCUCAGGAAAAAGGUAUUUAUAGAAUGUCUAGCUUUGAGCUCUGGUGUCCAGCUGGGCUCUUCCCAUCCUGCUUCUUGUCACAGUGAGUGGAGUCAUGGUCUGUAUCAGGACACUGUAUGACCCAUUUCUAUCUGUGCUCCUGAAAGCCCUCUGCAAAAACUGAAGGUGUUUUAGGAAGAUCAUUGGAGAUCCAAAGUGACCUGAAGAUGAGGUUGUCUGACAAGUGUUCCUGAGAGGCUCUUUCAGUCUUCAGGGAUUCUCUUACCCAUGACCACGGCACAACUGGGGUAUGCCAUAGAUUUACCAAGUGGGACGUGACUCUUAUCCAUUCUCAGUACUGUGGUGAUGAAAUCAUCAAGGUUUGUUUCCUGUGCGAAUCCCUUUCAGCAAAGGGUCAGUGAAACGCGCAACAGCCAUGGUCUAAAACUUAAUGCAGAGUGAAGAUGAAAAAACGUCCUGCAACAUGAGAAUCCCAAUUUGAUUUCUGAAGAAUUUCUGAGAAACAGAAACAGAUCCAUUUUGAAACCCUCAGAAAAAUACGUAACUCAAUGCUGUAACCAAGGAGGUCCAUCACUUUGUCAUGCACAAAGACGUGCAUGGUGUUUCUCCCCGGCCUGAAAGUGUGCAUCUGAGCACAGAGUCCCACCCUUCACUCAUUCAACUGAUGAUGCUCUGUGGCUAAUGAUGUUGCACCUGCCAAGGAUCAGCCCUUCUGUGUUUUGGCAGUUAGGAAACCCAUGAGGGAAAUCCUAUGGGUGUUGGAGAGGAGAGGGCAACAUGUGUGGGAACCUCUCAGCUUUGCAGGAUUUCUUUGGUAUUCACACACAUUUGCAAGAAUGUACUCCAAGCAUCUUGUACUGUUAUUAGUAACUUGUACUGUAGUUUGUUAGCCGUGUUGACUACCUACAUAACUAAUAUUCUGUUGAAAUUUAGAAAAAGUGUAAACGAUUGCAGAAAACAGGAGUUUAGAACUUGUAUGUACUUUUUUUUUUUUUUUAUAUUAAAGCACUUCAAUUAAAAGUUCAAGGAAAAACAUUCCCAUAUCCUUUGCUGCAUGUUCAAACAGAUGUGUGAAAGAGAAGGGAGAGCGCUCUUUCUGAGAUCCUCCCUUCUUGCUUUGGUGCAAAUGAGGUGGUCAAACUCUGUAGAGGGGGCUC
ensembl:lncRNA